rnacentral:rRNA from 1 species
AUUGAACGCUGGCGGCAGGCCUAACACAUGCAAGUCGAGCGGAUGAAGGGAGCUUGCUCCUGGAUUCAGCGGCGGACGGGUGAGUAAUGCCUAGGAAUCUGCCUGGUAGUGGGGGAUAACGUCCGGAAACGGGCGCUAAUACCGCAUACGUCCUGAGGGAGAAAGUGGGGGAUCUUCGGACCUCACGCUAUCAGAUGGGCCUAGGUCGGAUUAGCUAGUUGGUGGGGUAAAGGCCUACCAAGGCGACGAUCCGUAACUGGUCUGAGAGGAUGAUCAGUCACACUGGAACUGAGACACGGUCCAGACUCCUACGGGAGGCAGCAGUGGGGAAUAUUGGACAAUGGGCGAAAGCCUGAUCCAGCCAUGCCGCGUGUGUGAAGAAGGUCUUCGGAUUGUAAAGCACUUUAAGUUGGGAGGAAGGGCAGUAAGUUAAUACCUUGCUGGUUUGACGUUACCAACAGAAUAAGCACCGGCUAACUUCGUG